AUACGGAGGGUGCAAGCGUUAAUCGGAAUUACUGGGCGUAAAGGGUUCGUAGGCGGUUAUUUAAGUCAGAUGUGAAAGCCCCGGGCUCAACCUGGGAAUUGCAUCUGAUACUGGGUAACUAGAGUUUAUGAGAGGAGUGUGGAAUUUCCGGUGUAGCGGUGAAAUGCAUAGAGAUCGGAAGGAACAUCAGUGGCGAAGGCGGCACUCUGGCUUAAAACUGACGCUGAGGAACGAAAGCGUGGGUAGCAAACAGGAUUAGAAACCCUAGUAGUCC
rnacentral:rRNA from 1 species